rnacentral:rRNA from 1 species
CGCGGCCUAUCAGCUUGUUGGUGGGGUGAUGGCCUACCAAGGCGACGACGGGUAGCCGGCCUGAGAGGGUGUCCGGCCACACUGGGACUGAGAUACGGCCCAGACUCCUACGGGAGGCAGCAGUGGGGAAUCUUGCGCAAUGGCCUAACGGCUGACGCAGCGACGCCGCGUGUGGGAUGAAGCUCCUCGGAGUGUAAACCACUGUUGCCCGGGACGAAUAGCUCGAUUAAUCGAGCCUGACGGUACCGGGUGAGGAAGCACCGGCUAACUCCGUGCCAGCAGCCGCGGUAAUACGGGGGGUGCGAGCGUUGUCCGGAAUCACUGGGCGUAAAGGGCGCGUAGGUGGUUUGAUAAGGGUGUGGUGAAAGUCCGGGGCUCAACCCCGGAUCUGCCGUGCCGACUGUCAAACUCGAGGACUGUAGAGGCAGACGGAAUUCCGGGUGUAGCGGUGGAAUGCGUAGAGAUCCGGAGGAAGACCGGUGGCGAAGGCGGUCUGCUGGGCAGUUUCUGACACUGAGGCGCGACAGCGUGGGGAGCAAACAGGAUUAGAUACCCUGGUAGUCCACGCCGUAAACGAUGGGUACUAGGUGCCUGGGGGAGCGACCCUCUGGGUGCCGGCGCUAACGCAGGAAGUACCCCGCCUGGGGAGUACGG